rnacentral:rRNA from 1 species
AGAGUUUGAUCCUGGCUCAGGAUGAACGCUGGCGGCGUGCCUAACACAUGCAAGUCGAACGGAUCUGUAUUGAAACCUAGUGAUAUACAGGUUAGUGGCGGACGGGUGAGUAACGCGUGGAUAACCUGCCGUAUACCGGGGGAUAACACUUAGAAAUAGGUGCUAAUACCGCAUGAGCGCACAGCUCCGCAUGGAGCGGUGUGAAAAACUCCGGUGGUAUACGAUGGAUCCGCGUCUGAUUAGCCAGUUGGCGGGGGUAACGGCCCACCAAAGCGACGAUCAGUAGCCGGCCUGAGGGGGUGAACGGCCACAUUGGGACUGAGACACGGCCCAGACUCCUACGGGAGGCAGCAGUGGGGAAUAUUGCACAAUGGGGGAAACCCUGAUGCAGCGACGCCGCGUGAGUGAAGAAGUAUCUCGGUAUGUAAAGCUCUAUCAGCAGGAAAGAUAAUGACGGUACCUGACUAAGAAGCCCCGGCUAACUACGUG